rnacentral:rRNA from 1 species
GUGGGGAAUUUUGGACAAUGGGCGAAAGCCUGAUCCAGCCAUGCCGCGUGCAGGAUGAAGGCCUUCGGGUUGUAAACUGCUUUUGUACGGAACGAAAAGACUCCUUCUAAUAAAGGGGGUCCAUGACGGUACCGUAAGAAUAAGCACCGGCUAACUACGUGCCAGCAGCCGCGGUAAUACGUAGGGUGCAAGCGUUAAUCGGAAUUACUGGGCGUAAAGCGUGCGCAGGCGGUUAUAUAAGACAGAUGUGAAAUCCCCGGGCGCAACCGGGGAACUGCAUUUGUGACUGUAUAGCUAGAGUACGGUAGAGGGGGAUGGAAUUCCGCGUGUAGCAGUGAAAUGCGUAGAUAUGCGGAGGAACACCGAUGGCGAAGGCAGUCCCCUGGACCUGUACUGACGCUCAUGCACGAAAGCGUGGGGAGCAAACAGGAUUAGAUACCCUUGUAGUCC